rnacentral:rRNA from 1 species
UCCGAAAGACACCGACCGACCCGCCUGAGUUCCUUAAUUGACUCGGCGGGCAGCUUCCGGGAAAAAACCGUUUUUCGGUUCCGGGGGAAGUAUGGUUGCAAAGCUGAAUCUUACUCGAAUUGACGGAACGGCACCUCCAGGAGUGUGGCCUGCUGUUUAAUUCAACUCCCCACCCUUAAACUUACCCGGCCCGGACAUUGCCAGGAUUGACAGAUUGAGAGCUCUUUCCUUUUUCCGUGGGUGGGGGUGCAUGGCCGUUCCCUUUUGGUGGAGCGAUGUGUCUGGUUAUUUCCGAUAACGAACGACACUCUAGCCUUGUCUAUAUGCCUCGGCUUACUGACGUCGGUGGGACUUCUUAAAGGGACAGGCGGCGAUUCUUCCUCACGAUUAAGAGCAAAACAGGUCUGUGAUGCCCUUACAUGUCCGGGGCCGCACGCGCGCUACACUGCACUGAUCAGCGUGCAUUAUAAACCUGCUCCGUCAGGAGUGGGGAACCCGCUGAACCUUCCUUCUUAUUGGGAUUGGGGAUUGGAAAUAAUUUCCUUGUUCUAUGAAUUCUCAUAAUACGCGAGGCUUAUCCUCUCGUUGAUUACUUUUUUGCCCUCUGUUUCUCUCACCCGUCGCCCCUCUUACCGAUUGAUUUAGUGAAUUAUACAUGUUGACGUGCGCUCUGUCUCCUGUCGGCCGUGCUCUUUUUGGAAAGAAGCCCUUCCUUGCUCGAUCAUCGAAAUAAAUUAAAAACAAAGUUAUCGUAUCCGACCUGACCUGAUCAAGGACGAGUCCCUAUACGUGCAGCCUGCCGACUAGUCCUGUCUAUUUGUAGUUGUCAUUUGUCGAUCUGCUAACUACUUACCGACUAUAUUCUAGGUU